rnacentral:lncRNA from 1 species
CUUGCCUCUUUCUGCCCUGCUCUGUGCCCAGGAGGCUGACCUGUACAAACUGCCUCUGGGGCUCCCGUGCCCUCUGACUUCCAGUCGGGUGUGGCCAGUGGGAGACAUCAGCAGGAGCUGGAAGAACAGGAGGAAAGAGAGGGUUUGGGGUAUUCGUCGCUGCUGCCCCCACUUCUCCCUGCAGGGCUGGCCACAUCCCUCAGGGGUAUGUCACAGCUCCUCUCAUGGCAGCUUUCUCACCACACUCUCCUUCCUGGGACUUUGGCCCCAGGGCACUGCAGUGCCCACUGUACUGUCCUACAGCUUUGUAAAGUCCCUGUUGAACCCUCCUCAAGUUCUCCUAACUGGAGUGGCUCACUUCUUACCUGCUCGGACUCUGCUUGAUACAAACACUUACUGUGAACCCGGAUGGGCACAAUAUGGUUCCUGCCCUGGAGAAGCUCCUGGGAGUGACGCCUUCAGUUUGCUCUAUGACGUGGUGGGUGUCGCCUAGGGGUUGGAGCAGCCAUGAUCAUAUUCAGUGAACACUGCCUGCCAGCCAUCUUCAGAGAACCUCAUGUGCUGAUGUCUGGUCUGCCCGUGCCUUAGGAGGAAGGUGUUCUGCAAAGGUUCAUCGGUCUGCCUUCAGAAUUCUCCUUCCCAUGCUCACGGCAAAUCACAGUUCAACAGGUUCUUUAUGGGGCACCUGCUGCACAAAGGAGGUAAGAAUCUUACUGAACACCUACUAUGUGCCAGACCCUGUACACACAGU